rnacentral:rRNA from 1 species
UACGUAGGGGGCAAGCGUUGUCCGGAUUUACUGGGCGUAAAGAGCGCGCAGGCGGUCGUUCAAGUCGCGUGUGAAAGCCCCCCGGCUCAACUGGGGAGGGUCACGCGAUACUGAUCGACUCGAAGGCAGGAGAGGGUAGUGGAAUUCCCGGUGUAGUGGUGAAAUGCGUAGAUAUCGGGAGGAACACCAGUGGCGAAGGCGACUACCUGGCCUGUUUCUUGACGCUGAGGCGCGAAAGCUAGGGGAGCAAACGGG